UCGAACGGGAUCCAUCAAGCUUGCUUGGUGGUGAGAGUGGCGAACGGGUGAGUAAUGCGUGACCGACCUGCCCCAUACACCGGAAUAGCUCCUGGAAACGGGUGGUAAUGCCGGAUGUUCCAGUUGAUCGCAUGGUCUUCUGGGAAAGCUUUCGCGGUAUGGGAUGGGGUCGCGUCCUAUCAGCUUGACGGCGGGGUAACGGCCCACCGUGGCUUCGACGGGUAGCCGGCCUGAGAGGGCGACCGGCCACAUUGGGACUGAGAUACGGCCCAGACUCCUACGGGAGGCAGCAGUGGGGAAUAUUGCACAAUGGGCGCAAGCCUGAUGCAGCGACGCCGCGUGAGGGAUGGAGGCCUUCGGGUUGUAAACCUCUUUUAUCGGGGAGCAAGCGAGAGUGAGUUUACCCGUUGAAUAAGCACCGGCUAACUACGUGCCAGCAGCCGCGGUAAUACGUAGGGUGCAAGCGUUAUCCGGAAUUAUUGGGCGUAAAGGGCUCGUAGGCGGUUCGUCGCGUCCGGUGUGAAAGUCCAUCGCUUAACGGUGGAUCCGCGCCGGGUACGGGCGGGCUUGAGUGCGGUAGGGGAGACUGGAAUUCCCGGUGUAACGGUGGAAUGUGUAGAUAUCGGGAAGAACACCAAUGGCGAAGGCAGGUCUCUGGGCCGUUACUGA
rnacentral:rRNA from 1 species